CUUCUUCUUCGCCUCGCACCGAGCAACCACUACAAAUGGAAUCACUUGUUGUCAUAUUUCGGCAAGAUUUCAUGUCCUCAUCCACACUUUAAUUGUAGCUCAGACAAAGUGAUUAUUUUAGAUGUUCAGGUACUCUAGAAAAUGAUACAGAGCAUGUUGGAUCCUCUUGCAAAUCGGUGAAGGAAACCUGCGAUGAAAUUUCUGGUAUUAGAAAUGAUGCUCUUGAAAGGUUUUCAGAUCUUGAAAAUCCUGAUAUGGCCACCAUUCCACUGAGUGACAAUGCAUAGGGACAAUCUUUACAUAUACACAUCUGUGCAUGUCACUUGUUGGAAUUGGAGAAGCCUUCACCACGUGUUUAUUUCAUAGAUCACAAGUCUAUGCAAAACUGAACCGACAAGGAAAAGAAAGAAAAACAAAAGAAAGCUGCAUAUUUCCUCUCCCAUUUUUCAAGGUUAGCCUCCAUACGAAACCAGAAUAAAGAGAAAUCUUAGUGAAGUUAAAUUGGAGAGAAAUAUGGUAAAUCACCUACACAAAGCAAUUUCAAAUUCAUGGGUCUUUGCCAAAAGCAUAAAUUUGGGAUAUUUGGUUGCACAAUCUGUUCAAUUGCAGAGUAAGUCUGAUCAGCUAUGAUGGAUAUCUAUUUGGAGAUGAGACUUCGAUUGGAAUUGAGCGGAUAAUUAAAGAAGGCACAGAGGGGGUUUGCGGCAGCAAGUAGACCAAAAGAGCAAGGGAAAAUGUUGGCAAAUGGAGAAAGUAAUCAAGAUAAAAUAGAAGAGGAAAAAGAAAAGGGGACUAAUCAAUUAUUCUACAGAAGCAGCAAGGGACAUACAAAAGACAACAGCAGCAGCAGAGCACAAGGAUUUUUCAGCGUUUUUUCUAAACUCAAUUUUCUUCUCACAUUUGUUAUGAAUUAAAUAAUAUUUUCGAUUAUGUUUUGGGACUCCUUAACUAGGGCUACGAUGUAGCCAUGACUAUGAAUGCUUAUAUUCUCAAGUGAAUUAUUUCAAGUUUUCAGUUUCAUUGA